rnacentral:rRNA from 1 species
GACGAACGCUGGCGGCGUGCUUAACACAUGCAAGUCGAACGGAAAGGCCUCUUUCGGGGGGUACUCGCGUGGCGAACGGGUGAGUAACACGUGAGUAACCUGCCCUUGACUCUGGGAUAACUCCAGGGAACUGUGGCUAAUACCGGAGAGGAGCUCCUGCUGCAUGGUGGGGGUUGGAAAGUUUCGGGGGGUGGGGAUGGGAUCGCGGCUUAUCAGGUUGUUGGGGGGGUAGUGGCUUACCAAGGCUUUGACGGGUAGCCGGCCUGGGAGGGUGGCCGGCCACAUUGGGACUGAGAUACGGGCCAGGCUCCUACGGGAGGGAAGAGGGGGGGAUAUUGCCCAAUGGGUGGGAGCCUGAUGCAACAAAGGCGUGGUGGGGAUGACGGCCUUCGGGUUGGAAACCGCGUUCGCUCAUGACGAAGCUUUGUGUGACGGUAGUGGGUAAAGAAGCACCGGCUAACUACGUG